UACGAAGGGGGCGAGCGUUGUUCGGAUUUACUGGGCGUAAAGGGCGCGCAGGCGGUUCUGUUUGUCGAGUGUGAAAGCCCCGGGCUCAACCUGGGAACUGCGCUCGAAACGGCGGAACUAGAGUUCGGGAGAGGAGAGUGGAAUUCCCAGUGUAGAGGUGAAAUGCGCAGAUAUCAGGAGGAGCACCGGUGGCGAAGGCGGGUCUCUGGGCCGAUACUGACGCUGAGGAGCGAAAGCGUGGGGAGCGAACAGG
rnacentral:rRNA from 1 species